rnacentral:rRNA from 1 species
AAAUAAAAAAAAAUUUAAAAUGUGAACGACCCGAAACCAUACCGAAUUCGAUUUGUCAAAACAUUUAAUAUUGUAUGUACUGCUAUCUGUGGGAGACGCAAUUUUACUUUUUUUAUUU